rnacentral:siRNA from 1 species
AUGAUCAAGACUCCAAUCCCA